AGUCCUAUGGUCUAGUGGUAUGACGUUCGCUUCACACUUAAGUGAAGUUCAAGCUUCUCGAAAGCGCGAAAGGUCCUGGGUUCGAUCCCCAGUGGGACUA